UUGGUCAAACAAGUUAAUUGCCUUUGGCAGCUCACAAAGGGCUUUUCCUGUUUUAGUUGCAGCUCUGAAGAGGUGUGUUUGGGAAAGCGACCGACUGAGAAUAAUGCAUUUUGACAACGAUGGGCAUGUGUGUUGACGGUGGGUGUGUGUGUUGGGCAAAGCUGUGGAUCUGGUUGGGUUAGAGCUUUGCUGCAUAUAAAGGCAGAACAGCGCUGCAGCUUAGUCAGUAGUUUAAAUUCACUGUUUGGCGACGGUUUUGGAUUUUUAGUUAGGUUAUGACGUUUAGGGUAAUUUUUUUUUUUUCAUGAAUCUCAAAUUGACUUCUGUGUGCUUAUUUUUGCUGCAAGGGGGUGCCUGGAAGGUUAGAAAUCCAAAUUUUGUUUUUCAGGAACUACAUCACCAGCGUGCAUUGGAGCACCUUCUAACGCUUGGAUUGUGAUUCUUGUUCAGUAAAAACAGCGACGGGCUAACUCCGGUCAGGCUUUGAUCUCCUCCAGCUGUUUCCUCUGUCAGUCGUCACGUCAAACGAUAUGAUCAUCAGACUGUCCAGGCUGACACCAGGAUACUUCCGCCUCCUCCAGAGACAGGUGGCCGGUGAGGUGCAGAGCCCGCCGCAAGACCGAGCUGUCAACAAGAUCGCCAUGACGUUGGCCAUCUUAGGCCUUGGAUUGUCUUAUUACAGCGCCAGACAGUUGACUGAAAAUGUCAGUGUGCGGUCUACAUGAUGAGGAGACUACAUUGAGACCCUCCCAUGAUGAAGGAUCUGGAGCUAAAGCUGGCACAUCUGUUUUCCUCAAAACACCUUUUUCAGUUGUCAUCACCAAAUUUCCUGAGAAUCCUCACUUCGUGUUUGUGUGAAUUUCAAAGCUAAUCUUGGUGAUUUGUAGUUCUAGCUGAUGAUUUUUGGACCUUGAGCGUCUCUAGGACAGCUCAGUCCAGUGUUGUACCUCGUAUUUGGAGUGCGUCACUGAACUGGUGAACAAAGUUAUGUGACUCCUGCAACUUGGUUACAGAACUGCUUUGCAAGAUGAAUGCUGUUUAGGCCAAAUAAAGGGAAAGGGACUGCAGUAUUUGGAAUUAAAGAAAUGUGAAUUACACCAGUGGUCAAAAGGUGGCUGUUAAAUACUGUGCAUAGCAAUGUCUUUUCUGGGAACGCUGCCUGCAAAUGAGAUGUACCAUGUAACGAGGUUCUAAUACAACCUCCUAGUUUUGCCGGAACUAACGAUGGUAGUGUGGGGAUUUGGGAGAAGUGUGUUAAUUUCUUGUUGUUGUUGUUGUUAUUAUUAUAAUUAUUGACUUUGUUUCUUGGGAGAAGGUCUGGGAGCCUCGUGAACAGGUUGCUUCCGCUAGUUUAAAUACAGCAGCAUAUUUGCACAGUACUGCAGAAACACUACAGAGGGACUGUUACUAAUAACUAACUUUUAAAAAUUUUUCUGUGGUUUCACUGUUUUACUUUAAUUAUAGAAGUUUUGUUAAUGAAAUGUGAUAACUGGUCAUAAUGUGCAUUAUGUGUCAAAGGAAAUGUUUGACUUUAGUGGACUUUAACAUUUUCAUGUAAUGGUUUUAUGAAUGAUGUAAUUUAAUAAAUCGGAAGGUUU